rnacentral:rRNA from 1 species
GAUGAACGCUGGCGGCGUGCCUAAUACAUGCCAGUCGAGCGAACAGACGAGGAGCUUGCUCCUCUGACGUUAGCGGCGGACGGGUGAGUAACACGUGGAUAACCUACCUAUAAGACUGGGAUAACUUCGGGAAACCGGAGCUAAUACCGGAUAAUAUAUUGAACCGCAUGGUUCAAUAGUGAAAGACGGUUUUGCUGUCACUUAUAGAUGGAUCCGCGCCGCAUUAGCUAGUUGGUAAGGUAACGGCUUACCAAGGCAACGAUGCGUAGCCGACCUGAGAGGGUGAUCGGCCACACUGGAACUGAGACACGGUCCAGACUCCUACGGGAGGCAGCAGUAGGGAAUCUUCCGCAAUGGGCGAAAGCCUGACGGAGCAACGCCGCGUGAGUGAUGAAGGUCUUCGGAUCGUAAAACUCUGUUAUUAGGGAAAAACAAAUGUGUAAGUAACUAUGCACGUCUUGACGGUACCUAAUCAGAAAGCCACGGCUAACUACGUG